UCGAGAGGUAAAGACGGGAAUGUUAGAAGGAGCAGGGGGAAAAAGUUCUUAGGAUGCCUCCAAAAAGAAUAACAGCGGCACCGUCGCGUGAGGUGGAACAAGGUGAGGAGGAGUUAAGCGAAUCUCAACCUUCAUCCCCCCAGAUCUUGAGCAGUACGGCAUGCAGCGUCAAUCAGCUCAGAUGGUAUGUUCCAUGGAAGGGGAGGUAUUAAGGCAGCAGUGCACGUGAGAGGGAAGGACAGCUUGGAGCAGACGAGUCGUCUGCUAAGGGUGGCAGGGCUUAGCAGGCGGGCUCGAAGAUCAGGGGGGCAGUCUAGAGGCUGGGAGAAGCCCGGUGACUGUUUUUAUGCAUUUCCUUUUUCUUCUUUGUUGUAUUUUUUUGGGAACUUUAAUAAAUAGACAAGAAUUGA